rnacentral:rRNA from 1 species
UUCGCAAUGCCCGAAAGGGUGACGAAGCGACGCCGCGUGUGGGAAGAAGGCCUUCGGGUUGUAAACCACUGUCGGGAGUUAAGAAAUACAAGGAUAUUAAUAGUGUCUUUGUUUGACUAAGGCUCCGGAGGAAGCCACGGCUAACUCUGUGCCGGCAGCCGCGGUAAUACAGAGGCGGCAAGCGUUGUUCGGAAUUAUUGGGCGUAAAGAGCACGUAGGCGGCUAUGUAAGUCGGUUGUGAAAGCCUUCCGCUCAACGGAAGAACAGCAUCCGAUACUACAUGGCUUGAGUGCGGGAGGGGAGAGUGGAACUUCUGGUGGAGCGGUGAAAUGCGUAGAUAUCAGAAGGAACGCCGGCGGCGAAAGCGGCUCUCUGGCCCAUAACUGACGCUGAGUGUGCGAAAGCUAGGGGAGCAAACGGGAUUAGAUACCCCGGUAGUCCUAGCCGUAAAC